GUUAGGAAUAUUGGACAAUGGGCGAAAGCCUGAUCCAGCCAUGCCGAGUGAACGAUGAAGGCCUUCGGGUUGUAAAGUUCUUUAGCCGAUGAUUAUAAUGACUGUAGUCGGAAAAUAAGCCCCGGCUAACUUCGUGCCAGCAGCCGCGGUAAUACGAAGGGGGCGAGCGUUAUUCGGAAUCACUGGGCGUAAAGCGUGCGUAGGCGGUUUUGUAAGUUAGGAGUGAAAGCCCAGGGCUCAACCUUGGAAUUGCUCUUAAAACUGCAAGGCUCGAAUCUCGGAGAGGAUAGCGGAAUUUCCAGUGUAGCAGUGAAAUGCGUAGAUAUUGGAAGGAACACCAGUGGCGUAAGCGGCUAUCUGGACGAGUAUUGACGCUGAGGCACGAAAGCGUGGGGAUCAAACAGGAUUAGAAACCCCAGUAGUCC
rnacentral:rRNA from 1 species